GACGAACGCUGGCGGCGUGCCUAAUACAUGCAAGUCGAACGCAGUGGGGGCGAGGGAGUAACAAGUGGGUAACCUCCCAUCAGAAGGGAUAACACUUGGAAACAGGUGCUAAAACCGAUACUGAUGGAGGAACCCGCGGGGCAUUAGCUAGGUGGUGAGGUAACGGCUCACCAAGGCCACGAUGCAUAGCCGACCUGAGAGGGUGACCGGCCACACUGGAACUGAGACACGGCCCAGACUCCUACGGGAGGCAGCAGUAGGGAAUCUUCGGCAAUGGACGAAAGUCUGACCGAGCAACGCCGCGUGAGUGAAGAAGGUUUUCGGAUUGUAAAACUCUUUUGGUAGAGAAGCGGUAUCUAACCAGAAAGCCACGGCUAACUACGUGCCAGCAGCCGCGGUAAUAC
rnacentral:rRNA from 1 species